CUUGGUCAUUUAGAGGAAGAAAAGUGUAACAAGGUUUCCGUAGGUGACCU
rnacentral:rRNA from 1 species